GGGCCGUUAGCUCACCUGGUAGAGCGCAACUAUGGCAUAGUUGAGGUAGCCGGUUCGAGUCCGGCACGGUCCACCA
rnacentral:tRNA from 1 species